rnacentral:rRNA from 1 species
GUGGGGAAUAUUCCGCAAUGGACGAAAGUCUGACGGAGCAACGCCGCGUGAGUGAUGAAGGUUUUCGGACUGUAAAGCUCUGUUGUUUAGGACGAAAGUGCCUGUUGCGAACAGUUACAGGUAUUGACGGUACUAAACGAGGAAGCCACGGCUAACUACGUGCCAGCAGCCGCGGUAAUACGUAGGUGGCAAGCGUUGUCCGGAAUUAUUGGGCGUAAGAGCAUGUAGGCGGAGAUUUAAGUCUGUUGUGAAAAUGCGGGGCUCAACCCCGUAUGGCGAUGGAAACUGAAUUUCUUGAGUGCAGGAGAGGAAAGGGGAAUUCCCAGUGUAGCGGUGAAAUGCGUAGAUAUUGGGAGGAACACCAGUGGCGAAGGCGCCUUUCUGGACUGUGUCUGACGCUGAGAUGCGAAAGCCAGGGUAGCGAACGGGAUUAGAUACCCGGGUAGUCC